UACAGAGGUGGCAAGCGUUGUUCGGAAUUACUGGGCGUAAAGGGCGCGUAGGCGGUUCGUUAAGUCCUGUGUGAAAUCCCCCGGCUCAACUGGGGAACUGCGCAGGAAACUAGCGGGCUUGAGUUCGGGAGAGGGAAGCGGAAUUCCGGGUGUAGCGGUGAAAUGCGUAGAUAUCCGGAGGAACACCGGUGGCGAAGGCGGCUUCCUGGACCGACACUGACGCUGAGGCGCGAAAGCUAGGGGAGCAAACGGG
rnacentral:rRNA from 1 species